GAUGAACGCUGGCGGCGUGCCUAAUACAUGCAAGUCGAGCGAACAGACGAGGAGCUUGCUCCUCUGACGUUAGCGGCGGACAGGUGAGUAACACGUGGAUAACCUACCUAUAAGACUGGGAUAACUUCGGGAAACCGGAGCUAAUACCGGAUAAUAUAUUGAACCGCAUGGUUCAAUAGUGAAAGACGGUUUUGCUGUCACUUAUAGAUGGAUCCGCGCCGCAUUAGCUAGUUGGUAAGGUAACGGCUUACCAAGGCAACGAUGCGUAGCCGACCUGAGAGGGUGAUCGGCCACACUGGAACUGAGACACGGUCCAGACUCCUACGGGAGGCAGCAGUAGGGAAUCUUCCGCAAUGGGCGAAAGCCUGACGGAGCAACGCCGCGUGAGUGAUGAAGGUCUUCGGAUCGUAAAACUCUGUUAUUAGGGAAGAACAAAUGUGCAAGUAACUAUGCACGUCUUGACGGUACCUAAUCAGAAAGCCACGGCUAACUACGUG
rnacentral:rRNA from 1 species